CGGGGCCCUGCGUUACUGGGGCACCGAGGGAGCUCGUGGGUGCUGCCAGCCCCCGUGUGGCACUGAGCGAGUCCACCUUCCCGUCCCCGUUACCUUCUACUUCAUCAGCUUCUGUGAGCGUGUCUGGUUUCUCACUGUGAGGGUGGAGCUCACCCGAAAAGUCCUAAAGGGUUUUGCUUCCUGCAUCCUGAAGACCUCGCCCCGAGCAGCUUCAGCUGCGCUUCCAGAGUCGCCUGCCAGACAGAGUUUUUGUUGGACUGAACGAUGAAACAUCCUGAGCACAAAGCACCAUAGUGCUGCUUCCUGGAUGGAGAAGAUAAGCCCGUGUUCCACGCCAGAAUGUGACUUCCUGGUGAUACGCAGAGUCCGAGAAGCAGCGGCCAGACUCUUGGGGACCAGAGCCUCACUGGACCACGCUCUCCAGAUUCCAGGUGGAAAGACGCGGCAGAGCAGCUCUGUUCCUGACGAUCAGAGAGGAAGGACACAAGACAAGAGCCAUUCUUCCCUGGAACGCGUCACCGUCUUGAAGGACCCACUGGAAUCUUGAUUUUAUGCCCAGGAAACCUCUCCCGUGCUGACCCCCCGCCAGCUGCAAGACCCUCCAGCACGAAGCACGGGUCACCUGAGUGCCCCUGAAACAGCACCCGGGGGAGUGUUAAAGUGCCUUCGUCCCUUCUAUGGAACCAGAGGGCCUGCAGGUGAUUGAAUGCGAGCAAACAGUGGAUCUUCACCCAUGCCCGACUGGCACCCACGCGUGGCAGCGGCGGGACCCUGGCCCCCUCCCGUGGGCUCUGAGGCCAAGGGCUUCUUCGAAGCAAAACCUACCCACAACACCAGGGCACAGGGUGGGGCUGUGUCUGAGUGAGAGGUCCGCACUGCUGUGUUUCUUGUUUUCUCUUCUUC